AGGACGAACGCUGGCGGCGUGCUUAACACAUGCAAGUCGAACGGGAGUAUUGAAGAAGCUUGCUUUAGAGAUACUUUAGUGGCGGACGGGUGAGUAACGCGUGAGGAGCUGUCCUAUGCAGGGGGACAACAGCUGGAAACGGCUGCUAAUACCCCAUAAGCCGAGAGGUAAAAGGAUCAAUCCGGCAGAGGAGGUACUCGCGUCCUAUCAGCUAGUAGGUGAGGUAACGGCUCACCUAGGCGAAGACGGGUAGCCGGCCUGAGAGGGCGAACGGCCACACUGGAACUGAGAUACGGUCCAGACUCCUACGGGAGGCAGCAGUGGGGAAUAUUGGGCAAUGGGGGGAAAAACCCCUGACCCAGCGACGCCGCGUGGGUGAAGAAAUCCUUCGGGAUGUAAAGCCCUGUUGUAUGGGAAGAGCGGAAGACGGUACCAUACGAGGAAGCCCCGGCAAACUACGUGCCAGCCGCAGC
rnacentral:rRNA from 1 species